GCAACGUUCCAGGGGAUAAUUACGCCCUUUUGACCAAUGAAAGUGACCGUUUGAACCAUGCAACGGUUGUUAUUCAUUACAUAAUAUGUCAUGUUUUGUUAAAUUCCAAUGACGUUUGUACAUUUUUAUGCUGUAAAUCCCUGAAAUUCAGCUACAAAAUGUAAGUAAUUGAUUGUACAGUAUUUAGAAUCACGAGAAUACAAAAAUAAAAGUAUAUUCUUGCUUCCACAAUCAAUAAUUUUAUAUUUUCAAACGAUUUCAUUUCAUCAUAUGAGUCACGUUUUAGGAAUAGUGGAUUUGCGUUGGGUUCAUUGUUGGGCCAACAAACCCAGCAACACUAGUUCCAGGCUAUUUGCCUUCGCGCGAAAAUAUGCAAAAUGUUAUUACUCAAAUCAAAUGUAAUUGUAUUUUCA